rnacentral:rRNA from 1 species
AAUGGUUUAGUUUAAAUAGCCGCAGUAUCUUGACUGUGCAAAGGUAGCAUAAUAAUUUGUCUUUUAAUUGGAGGCUGGAAUGAAUGAUAGGAUGUGAUGGAUGCUGUCUUUGUAAUAAUUGAUUGAAUUUUACUUUUUGAUGAGAAGGUUAAAAUUGAAUUGGUAGACGAGAAGACCCUAUCAAGCUUUAUUUGAUUUGGUAAUUUUGUUUUGUUUAUUAGUGAGUGGAUUACUAUUUGAAUUUUGUUGGGGCAAUGUUUGAAUAUAUAGUAAUUUUUUAUGUUUAUUUUAAGUUUGAUCCGUUAUUAGCGACUUUGGGAAUAAGUUACUGUAGGGAUAACAGCGUGAUUAAUUUGGAGAGUUCAUAUUGGUAAAUUAGAUUGCGACCUCGAUGUUGGUUUAGUGGUUCUUUAUGGUGUAGCAGCUUUAGAAGAG